AAAGAAAGGCGAUACUCUUUGUUGUGGACCUGCUGGAGUGAACAGGAAAGCCCUAUGGGUAAGAAGGAACUUUGUUCUAACCAAUACUGAAGGAGUAAAGCAGGAAGAGAUAUUGACCGUCUGGUACAACGUAAAUAAAGGCUAUCCGCCGUGAGUAUACCCUUUCUGUGUGGAGUAACUGGCAAAAAUUAACUUGUGUAGCCAUUGGAAACCUCCAGGAAAAGGAGGGCGGCCCUACCCCUACAAGAGUGUGGUGGGCGAGCCGUUAGAAGUAUACAUUCAAACAGCCGCCGCAACGAGACUUAUUGUGGUCGUAUUUCCCAUCGCCUUAUCGUAGCCCAAGCGCAGUGGAGGACACCGGGCGCUUCCCUUGUUGUGGUGCACUUAUAGUGUGGUGAGUGAGACUGUGUAAUAAAUCUUUUCACGUUGGAGUGGUGCUGUGUAUUUGCUGUGGGUUGCUGUGUGUCUUGUAGACGAAGCCCCGCAUCAUCCAUUUUCUUCCACUGGGCAGAGGACGGGGAGGCCAACGACCUCAGAAACUACUGUUACUAUUUGUAGUGUGCUGUUUGGAGUACGAAGGGACGCAGACUAAGAGCUGUCCGUGACCGUGAGUAAACCAUUGGAAACAUUCGUGGUGUGAACUUACCUGUGUCUGUUUUGUCGCAGAGUCAGAGGCGAAAGGGUCCGCCGCCCCGUGGUCUCUACGAAAAGGGCGCCCCCGUCUAGGAAUCGAUCGGCCUAUGGGCAUUGGAGAUAGGGCAGCGCUCGACCCGGUGAGGUGGUGUGUGACCUUCGCCCCUCUGCUGACCUACGGAGGAGAACGAUACCUACCCAGAAAGCUGUAAACAGCAGAGCCGGUGAGAAAUACUCGAAGCCUCAGUAACAGUGUCUUUGUGUUCUAGCGGCCACCUGUGGAGAGAGAGCAGAACGAGAGUGAAUCAUUGAAGAGCAAACUGUGAACGUGAUACCUACCCAGAAAGCUGUAAGCAGCAGAGCCGGUGAGAAUUACUCGAAGUCUCAGCAACAGUGCCUUUGUGUUCUAGCGGCCACCUGUGGAGAGAGAGCAGAACGAGAGUGAAUAAUAGAAGAACAAACUGUGAACGUGAUACCUACCCAGAAAGCUGUAAACAGCAGAGCCGUGGCCUCCUGUGGAGAGAACGGAAAACGAGAAGGAACAUGAGGAGAAUGGACUGUGUGAAGAUACAGUGGUGGUGGAGGAGGGCCUAGAGUGGCCAUUGUUUUAAGUCCCCGUUUCCCCUUCCCUAUUUAAUAUUUUUAAGUAAUUUAAUAAAGGAUAUUUUAAUUUUA